UCCAGGGUAGCUCAGUUGGUAGAGCAGGUGGCUGUUAACCACCUUGUCCCAGGUUCGAGCCCUGGUCCUGGAGCCA
rnacentral:tRNA from 1 species